UAGUGUGCUCUGGAAACUGUCUGACUUGAGUGCAGAAGGGGAGAGUGGAAUNCCAUGUGUAGCGGUGAAAUGCGCAGAUAUAUGGAGGAACACCAGUGGCGAAGGCGGCCCUCUGGUCUGUCACUGACGCUGAGGCUCGAAAGCGUGGGUAGCGAACAGGAUUAGAUACCCUGGUAGUCCACGCCGUAAACGAUGAGUGCUAGGUGUUAGGCCCUUUCCGGGGCUUAGUGCCGGAGCUAACGCAAUAAGCACUCCGCCUGGGGAGUACGACCGCAAGGUUGAAACUCAAAGGAAUUGACGGGGGCCCGCACAAGCGGUGGAGCAUGUGGUUUAAUUCGAAGCAACACGAAGAACCUUACCAGGUCUUGACAUCCCGAUGCUAUUCUUAGAGAUAGGAAGUUACUUCGGUACAUCGGAGACAGGUGGUGCAUGGUUGUCGUCAGCUCGUGUCGUGAGAUGUUGGGUUAAGUCCCGCAACGAGCGCAACCCUUAUUGUUAGUUGCCAUCAUUAAGUUGGGCACUCUAGCGAGACUGCCGGUAAUAAACCGGAGGAAGGUGGGGAUGACGUCAAAUCAUCAUGCCCCUUAUGACCUGGGCUACACACGUGCUACAAUGGUCGGUACAACGAGUUGCGAGCCGGUGACGGCAAGCUAAUCUCUGAAAGCCGAUCUCAGUUCGGAUUGGAGGCUGCAACUCGCCUCCAUGAAGUCGGAAUCGCUAGUAAUCGCGGAUCAGCACGCCGCGGUGAAUACGUUCCCGGGCCUUGUACACACCGCCCGUCACACCACGAGAGUUUGUAACACC
rnacentral:rRNA from 1 species